rnacentral:rRNA from 1 species
GACGAACGCUGGCGGCGUGCUUAACACAUGCAAGUCGAACGGAAAGGCCCUGCUUUUUUGGGGUGCUCGAGUGGCGAACGGGUGAGUAACACGUGAGUAACCUGCCCUUGACUUUGGGAUAACUUCAGGAAACUGGGGCUAAUACCGGAUAGGAGCUCCUGCUGCAUGGUGGGGGUUGGAAAGUUUCGGCGGUUGGGGAUGGACUCGGGGGUUAUCAGCUUGUUGGUGGGGUAGUGGCUUACCAAGGCUUUGACGGGUAGCCGGCCUGAGAGGGUGACCGGCCACCUUGGGACUGAGAUACGGACCAGACUCCUACGGGAGGCAGCAGUGGGGAAUAUUGCACAAUGGGAGGAAGCCUGAUGAAGCAACGCCGCGUGCGGGAUGACGGCCUUCGGGUUGUAAAACGCUUUAGCCUGUGACCAAGCGUGAGUGACGGUAAUGGGUAAAGAAGCACCGGCUAACUACGUG